GCGCCAAUAGCUCAGUAGGAUAGAGCAGGGGACUUCUAAUCCCAAGGUCGGGGGUUCGAAUCCCUCUUGGCGCACCA
rnacentral:tRNA from 1 species